CUACCAGGGUAUCUAAUCUUGUUUGCUCCCCCACGCUUUCGUGCAUGAGCGUCAGUGUUAUCCCAGGAGGCUGCCUUCGCCAUCGGUGUUCCUCCGCAUAUCUACGCAUUUCACUGCUACACGCGGAAUUCCACCUCCCUCUGACACACUCUAGCCCGGUAGUUAAAAAUGCAGUUCCAAAGUUAAGCUCUGGGAUUUCACAUCUUUCUUUCCGAACCGCCUGCGCACGCUUUACGCCCAGUAAUUCCGAUUAACGCUUGCACCCUACGUAUUACCGCGGCUGCUGGCACGUAGUUAGCCGGUGCUUAUUCUGCAGGUACCGUCAGUUUCGCGGGGUAUUAACCCGCGACGUUUCUUUCCUGCCAAAAGUGCUUUACAACCCGAAGGCCUUCAUCGCACACGCGGGAUGGCUGGAUCAGGGUUUCCCCCAUUGUCCAAAAUUCCCCACUGCUGCCUCCCGUAGGAGUCUGGGCCGUGUCUCAGUCCCAGUGUGGCUGGUCGUCCUCUCAAACCAGCUACGGAUCGUCGCCUUGGUGAGCCGUUACCCCACCAACUAGCUAAUCCGAUAUCGGCCGCUCCAAUAGUGCAAGGUCUUGCGAUCCCCUGCUUUCCCCCGUAGGGCGUAUGCGGUAUUAGCUACGCUUUCGCGUAUUUAUCCCCCGCUACUGGGCACGUUCCGAUACAUUACUCACCCGUUCGCCACUCGCCACCAGACCGAAGUCCGUGCUGCCGUUCGACUUGCAUGUGUAAGGCAUCCCGCUAGCGUUCAAUCUGAGCCAGGAUCAAACCCUG
rnacentral:rRNA from 1 species